ACCCUCCCACUUGGCCUCCCAAAGUGCUGGGAUUACAGGUGUUAAUGGAAACUGGGGAUGGGGAGUGCUGUCAGGCUCUUACACACAUAUGUGGCUCAGGCCCCCAGAGCUCCUUUCUUCUCUCUCAGGUCUUGAUGGCUAUUGAGCAGAGAUGAAGUCAGUCAUGGGGCAGAGCCCAACCACGGACUUCAGAUCACAAAUUUACAAAAAUACCCUGGCUCUCCUUAGUUCAUAUGGUUAAACCAUAUUUCUUUUCAAGCCAAGAAGAUAGUCUAAAGGAUGAGAAGAAUGAAUAAAGAAAAAUGCAAAACCACAACAGUUGUUAAAGCAACUAGUAAGGAAAUGUAAUAUACUAGGCAGACGAGACUGGACAAGGAAGAGGAGACAAGCCUGGAGGAGGAAUAGAAGAGACCAGAUGAGAAAGAGGAGACUAGAGUGGACGAGGAAGAGGACAUUUGCUGUUAAAAGAAUACCACAGUGAGGCAUUCUAUAUUUUUGCCAAUAUAUCUUAGGGUUAGAUUCCUAUAAAUGGGUUCAGUGGGCUAAUUCACUGUGUAAUUUUGCUGAUGCUGACAACUUGCAAAUAAACCUCCAUACCUUUAAUAUUUUUUUCUUCAAACUUAAUAAAUGUGUA